GAGAAAGUUUGCAUAAUUACACCGAGUGAGAACAAUCAGUUAAUCUUGGUGAUAAGCAGAAUUUGGAUUUAAGCCAAACUGCAGCCCACAAAUAGCUUUAGUGUGCUGGAAGGUCAUGUCUGCUGUCAGCAGAGGAGGUAACAAUUUCUGAAAGGACUAUCUUGAGAAAGUUCAUUAGAACUACACAAAUGCCUACACGGAAGAGAUCAUGUAUAAAAGCUGUAUAAAUUAAAGCUGACAUGCCCAGUGUCCUCGUUACAGUUCUCCACCCCAUGUUCUGGGGAGGCAUGGAAGUUCUUUCAUCCAAUAUAGACGAUGUUUAAGCCAACAAGGUGUGAGACUUGAUCCUCACUGUACCUUUAAAGCUGCUUCUACGAUGCAUUAACCUCAGCCUUGCCUCCUGGAAAAAGGAGAAUGAGACCUGCUGGAGACAGAGUGCUUCUUCUCUAGGGACUGGCUGGAAGACAACAUGGAGAAAAUAAAAGUCUAUUAAACAAACAUGGGACUUUGUGAAUAAGGAAGAUUUUUUUCAUCAGAAAAUAUUUCCCUCUUAACUAGAGCAGAACCAGACAUGUGUUCUGCAAAAUAGAUUAUUUUCUAUUGGAAACAAGGGAACAUUGACCGGGUGCUGAGGAGUCAUUGAGGCAAAUGAAGAAGGCUGCCGCAGGAGUGGUACCCUAAGCCAGACAGACUUAAUCUCUGGCAACAAAAGGAACGGAAACACUGGGGAACAAAGGAGUCACUGUUCCUGAAGUGCCAGCUCCAUUGCAGCACAGUUGUGAUCUCUGCCGUGAGCUGCUCCAUCAUUUUGCUGCAUUGGUGGGUGUGAUUUUUUUCCCUUUGUGUUCCCUGACUUACAGAACAUUUCAUAAAGUGUGUGGAGAAAGGAGAGACGUGAGGGCUCAGACUGGCCAUUAAAGCUCUGCUUGUACUGCAAUGAAAUGCAAGUUCUUCUGUAAGAAAUAUGUCCUGGGUAAGACCCAGCCAGGCACAAAACUUCGUGCAUAUACGUUGGAUUAUGGAAGUUUUUUUAUGAUAAAUGUGUUGUGGGCAGUAGCAGCCGGCAGUGAUGGGGAGUCCACAGGGACAACAUCAUGAUUAACGUCCUGGGCUGGAUAUAUCACCUCUAGGUCUGUCUUACCUCACUUAAACAAUUUGUUUCAUGGCUUAUCAUAGUCAAAUACCAGCGUAACAAUGUGAAUCAAACCACUACGAGUACCAUUUUUUUGCCUGAAGAAGCUUCAGACUCCUAGAAAAUGCAAUACAAUAAUAUAACAUUGUGACAUAAGAAUAAUAUAUGAGGUUGAAUAAUAAUGUGUAAUAACACGUGAUUCUGUAUUUUUUUUUGCUAUAUCUACUGCAAUAAAAAUAUAUUUUAAUAAUAUUUUUGUGUAUACAGGUAGGAAGAAAAUACAUUAAAACCCAAGAGAAAAAGUCUAUGAGGAUAAAGCUCUAUUAUCCCGAUUCAAGAAAAAAGACAGGAUGGGAUAUUCAUAAAUUCUGUAUAGACUGUAUAUAAUGAAGUUAUUCUUCACAGAAUAAGGGCUAAAUGGAGAAAGGUGAAACGAGACGGAAGAUGGUUUAAUUGAAUGUAGGUUUGUCAAAAUUCUUCCUCAAAUGAUUGAUGAAAAAUGACUGGCUAAACCUCUUAAUUAAUCAAUUCUGUAGCAAAAAAAUAGAGUGUCAGACAGAAUUUCAGUUUUUAUAUUACUUGAUGAGUUUGCUUUAAUUGUAAAUUUAUUGCCAAAAUAAACCUGAAAGGUAGAUGAACUGAAAAUAAUCCAUGUAUAGCAAACUAGAGGUUAUGACUAAAGUACCUCUAACGCAAUUCUCUCUUUCUUGGGUACGUACAACACUCAUUAAAGCAAUAACAAUCACAGAAGGAAAAUAUAAUCCAUAAAAUACCUUCAGAUUGGAUUAGCAUUAUACAGUGGAUCAAGCAUAUUCUUGAAGUAAAUUCAUUGCCUUUGAUGGAGCGACAUAGUAGACAAGUUCAGUUCAGUCUAUUUAAUUUCCACUGUGAGUAUUGAACAGGGGAAGGGUGUUUAAGCUCAUAAUUGGCACACCAACGUAUGGAAGAGAAGUAAAUAUGCUAUUAAUGAGGAGCUAAAUAUUGACAUAUAGCGAGAAUAAAUUAUAUCAAAACAUUAAAUGUAACUUGCUUAAUGCACUAUUAAGUAUCCAAAUAUUGUGUAUAUGGAAUUGUAAUUAUAUGUUUGGAUUCUGAACUAAUUACACGGCAAGAAAAAUGAAGAUUUUUUCAAACACUUGGGACUGACCUAUCUUUACCCCAACAGAAGCCGAUGACGGAAUUAACUAGCACUGUGUUUUGUCUCAGCUAUUACAACUCACCAUAAGGAAAUGUUGCAUUGCUGGUUACAUCUGCAAACACGGCCUUUCCAUUAGGAUAUGAGGUACUUUAUAAAUCUGUCACUUUAAGAAAAUCUUCAAUUUAUUUUUCAGUGUUGUACGUCAUUACAGGAGAAAGCGGUGUCACUGAGCCUCAUCUACUACAGACUACUACUACAUUUGUCUUUUGAUUGCUUUGUGCCAUGCAUGCAUUAUCAAAUUCUUGGCAACAAACCCACAACAAAUUCAGUAAGAGUAACUUUUUAUAGCGCAUAAAGAUGUUCCUCAAAAUGAAAGCAUAGGAAAAGAAAACUCUGAGGAAGGUAGAAAGGUAGAUUGUAAUUUUUCACACAAGAUUCAGAUCUUCACAAGAAGUGGCAUUAGAAUUUGUGGCACCACAAGGACUUUAAAAGUGCUCAAAAGCAUUGGUAGCAGAGAAAACAGAAGGGAAUAUGAAUAUCAUAUCAUUGCAUAUCAUUGGUUAUCCUGAUGAUGUGGAAAGCACAUCAUGCUUUGCACUUCAGAGAUAUCAACCCUAACAGAAUAGAUUGAUUUCAAUUCCUAUCUCAGCUUGAUAAGAUUUAUUAAGAGCUCAAAAGUUAGCAGGCUGGUUGCCUCAGAACUAAGAGAUGGAAAUAAGUUAAUACCUGUGGGUACAAGUGGGAGGAAGAACAGUUUUUAAAUUAAAACGCUUUAAUAUACAGGAAAAAAAAACAAUUACAUGGGGUUUGACAUGUGGCUUGUGUCUGUUUGUUUGUUUGUUUUCCCCCAGAAAACACUAUGAAGAUAUUUUAAAGGAUUUUAUUUACAGGGGAUGAAGGAUCUCACACACUUAGGCUCUUGUUCAGGAUAUAUUCUAUUCACAGUGGAUGAAGUCAUGCCAUUAAGGCAUAACUAUGUAUAGGUUGUUAGUAUAAUGACAUUAAUAGCUUAGCUUCUGCCCAUGUAGCUGAAGUAACAAAAAGCCUUGUAAUUUAAAUAUGUUUUAAUAGUGAUAACUGUUAUAAUAGAUAUCAAAGUAAUACUAUGUUAAAACCUAUAUAUAUACUAUUAUCAUAGUCAUAAGUCUUUGUAAAUAUCUGUCUUGAAAUACCUUUUAAUAACUAUUUUAAAUACUCCUACUUACAGAUUAUUAUUAUGCAUGUAAAAUAAGUAGAUAUGCAUGCAUGCAUGUGAAGAUGGAAAUAAUUAGGAUAAAUAAAAUAACUUACACAACAAGGGUAGACAUAAGAUUAUGGCUGGUCCAUUAAAGUCUAUGAAUAUCUGCCCAUUGACUUCAAUUAGCUCUGAAUUAGGCACUUAACCAGCAGGAAGCAAAUGGAAUAUUCUAUUUGAUUAUCCUGGUCAAUGAGCAAUGAAUGCAUAAAAAUAACUGUCCACAGACCCCAAUGGAAUUGGCCUCUCUAAACUAAGCUAAAAAAAUGGAAACUUUUCAUUAUAUUAUUCUUACUUUUUUUCUUUUCUGUUGCAAGCAUUCUGGGUAUUUCAGAGGUAAAGAACCACCAUCUUCUCUAUGAUGAAUUUAUGUCCAGUUUCAAGGUUGCAGAAGAACAGGGGUCCACCAGAACACAUUAAUAUUCUUGAAAAUUUAUUUUAAGGGGAUAUUUUUUGAUGGUUUCAAAUAAUUUUUUGCUACAAAGCCCAAAAGAUGUGCUAUAUUCUCAUAAACCCAGACAGCAGACAGUUCAAAUGGAAAGGAAGAUGUGACUUGAAGCAAACCCUGUAGGGAGUCACCACCACCUUCUGCAGUGGUCAACAGAAGUAGCAGGUGCUGAAAUCAACUUUUUUUCCUGACUGUAAUGACAACAAGAGAAAUAGAAGAAGCUUAUAGAAACACUUGGGAAGUUGCUUGCUGACUCAUGUGACAACAAUCGGUGUCUGAAAUGGAGCUAGUUAAUAUUCUCAUUAUGAUAAUCACAUUCAACAUUUCCCUUUAUUUUUCCAGGUUCUUCCCUUAGCUAUCUUUCUCUGAGAUAAGAAAAUUGUUAUCAGUGUAUCAGCUCAGAUACAUUUCAUGGGAAGAAUGGCAAGAAUUAAUUCUGGUCUAGCUGAGGAGAGUACAAUUAGGAAGCCUUCAUGAUGAGACUAAAUCUCCAGAUUAUUGAAUCAGAUAUCCUCAUUUCAGAUGGCUCUGAAAACCUAAUAAUCCAUUUACUUUCCAAAAUGCACUUAGACAUAAUCACCACUGUAAGAUGAGGAGAGAGGAAAAACUACUUGUAAAUGGUCUCAGAGAAAGCAAUAAUUUUAUAAUUGUGGAAGAUUGUUUGUAAAGUUAAAGAUAAAAUGUGUUUUGUUGCCUUUUUAUAAAUAUUAAUUCUAUUAGUCCAGUGCAAUACUUCUGACAUCUCAUGUAAAAACUGGUAUCUUUCACAAGUUAUCUUUGACUCCUCAUUUUUCACACACAUUUUUCUGUGCUACUUGGACCUAUGAUCAACAUAGUGAUAGCGUUGAAAGAAUAAUCAUAAUGGAUGAUGCUGCCUGACUGUGUUUCACUGGAAACUCAUUUGGGCAGCAUUAUCCAAACUUUGACACAUCGGUGGCUUGUCAUCUAUUUUGUAAGGAACUCAGGGAGAAGAUAAAAAAGCAACUUCAGAUUUGAUAAUUGCUUUCCACAAUUAUAAAUGAAUGUUACUCUAACUUCCAGCUUGUCUUUGACUCCAGAACUGAAUGAACUUUGUGUUCCCUGUCCUCUGGAGAUCAUGAUUGUUAUGAAUACAAAGCAUUUAAACAUCCCACUAUGCAAAAUUUGAGAAGAGAUGGGGGGAAAAAAGAAAUAAACAAAAUACCCCCAGACAGAAUUUUCAUCUGUGUCAAAGAGUGGGAGAGCAACUUAAAGGAGAUGUUCCUAUAUUACUGUCCUUCCUAGUCACUUUGUACCUUACUUCGGGGAAAAAAUGGUCAUCAAAUAAUUCCAUCUACGGUGCCUGGACUGGUCUCUAGUGCCUUUAAGCACAAGGUCUUAAUUUCUGGAGCCGUGCUUAACAGGUAACCCUGAAACUGAUGGUUUAGUAGGCUUGAAAUUAACCUGGAAGCAACAGAAAGAUGGUCAAGUCAUAGCAGAUGAGUUUUUGGUUUUACGUUGUAUAGUUCAGUUCAAAUUCUGUAACUAGCCAAUAAAUCUUACAUUAGUCUGAUGGGAAUGGUGACUCUGAGACCUCAGUGAGCCAGAAAGAAAAAGCUUGAGUGUUUUCCAACAUUUCCUAACCCACUAAUCUUCCAACAAUCUCCAAGUGUUUCAAAGCCCUUGAGAGAACACCAGGAACUUCUCCUGUUUUACAGAAUCAUAUUCAUUCAAUUGAGGAAGAGAAAUUACAUGGAUGCAAUUAUGUGAUUAAUCACAGCUGACCAUGCGUGUCCAGAGUGCUGAACACUAUGAUGAUCAAUAAGCAAAAGACAUUGGAGAGAGAAAAUAAUCACAUAAGCCCAAAUAACAAAUUUAAAGUACUCAGGAUCUACUUGUGAAUAUUUCAUGAACUGAAGAUGAAGCAAAAUUUGACAAAUUAUUAUUUUUCCAUUUCUGAUAAUAAGUAUUUUCAUUUUAGGCUUUGUGAGAUUUUUAUUCCUGAAUUGUAAUAAAGUAUUUCUGUAUUAAGAAAUUUUGGGGAAUUAAUUCAUUCAUAAUAUGUAGAAAAGGGGAAAAGUAUUACUUGCCUUUGAGUCUGAAAAACAAUUUCUGAUUACUUUUAGUAGAUAAUUCCUUAAAAUCAUGUCUCUGUCACAGUAUCCUUGUGUAGGAAUGAAAUAUAAUUGUUACAUCAUUGUAAAUAUGUGACUAUGGUGCUGGUGAAAAGAAGCAUCCUAGGCUUUUGCACUUUAAAAAAUACCUUUUAAAUAUAUGUGAUUUCAGUGUUGUCUUUUACACUGCUAAGAUGUCUUUCUGUUCCUACUUACUGCAACUUGUUAAAAUUACGUACUGCUGCUCUUUUUGAUCCUAACAAUUUACCAAUAUUUGCAUUCUGGCAGGAUUGAUCUCUGUUGAAAAUAUCUUUGCUUAGAUACUGAUGGCAUGUAAAUGAUGUAACAGUCCUUACAUAUAAAUUAGUUUUCAGGAAUUCCUCUUUCCUGAGCCUAACAGGAGCCAGAAUACUCCAGAUGGUGGUGCUCGAUGGUCCUGUCACUGCACUGCUUCCCAAGGUUGCAUUGUGAUUCUUUUUCUAUUUUCCAUAACCUUCUCCUCAUAUCCUAAGCCCUGAGGGGUGGAACCUUCUCCAUGUGUCCUUGUUCUAUGCUGUUCAGCCCAAGCCAAAGCUCCUCCUGGUAAAUACAGAAGAGCAUUCCUGUUGCACUCAUAGAUGGCUGAGUCCAUGGCAGCAAAUAUUUUUCUUGCUGCAUACAUGAAAUUUAAUGUAUUCCUGCCCCUUCUUUCUUCUGCAAACUCCACCAACUGCAUGUAGUUUGUCCUGUUCCUUUUAUAAUAGAGACAAUCUUCCUUUUUUUUUAGUUUUUUUUUCCCCUUCCUCUCCCCUCCCACCUGGUUAUCUGUGUAACUUGAGGGGAAAUAUAUGCUUCUAACAACCAACUUCUUCACGUUGUCAUAGAAAAGAUUACACAGCAAUGAUUUGUGUAAAGAGAGAAAUACCUUCUACGGUGCUACUUACGAAUGUCUUAAAACAAAAGCUAUACCCUUGAGGGCAAUGAAUAGCUGUUUUCAUCUCAAUUUUGUUUUGUGCUGUUCUUUGAUCUAACAUGAAAAUCAUUACAAUUUAUGAGAUAAGGCAGCAGACAAGACCCCGGGGAGUUCUUCGUUAUGUAACGCUACAUCCAAUUCAUUAUUUUGUGACUGUCUUCCUCAAAUAGCUUUCUGAAAGAUCAAGUUAGUCAAAGCUACUGUGGGUUUUUAGCUUUGCUAAAAUCUACCGUAUUACACGCUCAGUGAAUUUCCACAGCUUUUGUUCGAGUCACUGACAGCACCUGUCAUUUGCCUUUUUAUGUCUUGAAAGCUGCUGGUGGCAGCAUAAUCAAAGAUGCUGAGUAAAAAUACAUAUCCCAGAGCAGUGGCCUGUAAAAGAAGGCUACUUAUAUUUUAGCAUAGACUGUAUAUGUCACAACCUGUAGUUUUGUGGUGAUUUUUUUCUUGUAUGUGUCAACACUUUAUUGCACAUCAGGUAUCUGGGCAAGUUAGUAAAAGAGAAGUACUCUUAAGGAACUAAAAUUUUAUCCUUUCUUUUUAUAUAGAAAGGAGGAGGGAAAAGUUUGCUUCACCAGUUGAGUGUUAGAGCCAAAAGAAAUGAGUCAACCCCAUGUUUCAAGAUAUUAACAAAAUGCUAAUUUUUGAGGGCUUAUUACUUAGAUCUAAGUUCUUAAUAGUUAUAAAUCGCCACGAUUAAGGGCCCGGUGUUCCCACUACUGCAAAAAAUCACAUCUCUGCUAUCUACUUACAUUUUAAUUGAGGAAAACAAUUUUUUCAUCUCCUCUACCCUUUACUCCACAAAGAAAAAAAAAAUAACAUUAUUUUUGACUUUUCAAGGGAAAAAUAUUGAUAUUUCAUUCCUAAACUCUUACUGCACAGUUUGUAUAAAGAAACAGUCACAGAAUAGUGACCUCUUUGAAGAAGAAACUUGUAUUUCAAUCACUCUCACUUCUGUCUGUCCAGCUGUGCAAAACAACAAAGCAGAGGAAACUCAUGCCCUGUGCCCACUCUAAAAGUCGAAAUGGCUCCAUUCCUUCAGAAAGCAGAGAACAAAGUUAUCUGCAAGAUUUCCUAGAGAGUUACACUCUCUGUAUGUCUAUGAGUACCACAUUUUGCAGGCUGGUACAGAGUAAACCUUGCUGAUGUGUACGGGGAGCACCUUGCACAGCUGGGGGAUGUUAGAAAAAUUUAGGAACCUAUAGAGUUGGGCUUUACCUAGUGAUUAACUUUUAAAAAAAAAUACAUAUCUUUGGAGGGGAAAUACUCAAUUCAAUGGAUUUGUCAUGUUCUGAGUAGUCAUGAGCAGAAAAUGCUGUAUUUGUUAGAGCCAAAAAAGAAUGUUAUUUUCUCUAGUGGUGCUAUUAAGUUACCUGUUGUACAUAGAUUGUGUCAUGAAAUACUUCAGACUUCUUGUAGCUACAAGUGAGAAGUACAGUUUUAAGAAAUGAACUUUUGAUAAUAUAACAUCUUUGUGUACUGCAGCCAAGACCAUGCAGUUUUCUGUACAGCUGUGAACAGCAGCCUCUCUUAAUUAAAUAUGUUGUGCACUCUGAGACUACGAAUGUUGUUUUACUUUGUUUAUUUUCCACUUCCAAUUGUCACUAGAUCUUUGGAUGGGAUGGAUGGGAUUUUGCCAGCAGUUUUAUUCCUUCCAUUCAAGGAAUUAUUUUUGUUCUUAUGACUGGCCAGUUGCAAUUAUGGGAGACGUACAUGCUAAAGCUUUGCAGAAUUCAGUGGGAAUAGUUUCCUCUGCUGUGGCUUUCAUAACUCAGCCAAACAAAUCCUAUAAUAGGGCUAUAAUUUUGUUGUGUUCUCCUUCAAGGUUUGAAAUACAUUGCAGUCUUUUUUAAUUACAUAUUACAAGUUCGUUUGUUAUUUGGGUUUUGUUUGUUUGUGUGUUUUGGCUUGGUUUUGUUUAUUUGUUUGAUUUUUAAUUCAACUGCAUUAGGAUGUGUGAAUGGAGAACGUCCCAAUCCUGAGAACAUCAGAAGAAGCUGCUACUUCCCAGCAGCAGUAGCAUUGUAUGCUUUAAGUCAAUAAACUACCACGUUUCAAACCCAA